rnacentral:rRNA from 1 species
AGAGCGAACGCUGGCGGCAUGCUUAACACGUGCAAGUCGCACGGUUGGGGUAACCUGGCAGUGGCAGACGGGUGAGUAACGCGUAGGUAUCUAUCCAUGGGUGGGGGAUAACGCUGGGAAACUGGUGCUAAUACCGCAUGACGCCUGAGGGCCAAAGGCAGCGAUGUCGCCUGUGGAGGAGCCUGCGUACGAUUAGCUUGUUGGUGGGGUAAAGGCCUACCAAGGCGACGAUCGUUAGCUGGUCUGAGAGGAUGAUCAGCCACACUGGAACUGAGACACGGUCCAGACUCCUACGGGAGGCAGCAGUGGGGAAUAUUGGACAAUGGGCGCAAGCCUGAUCCAGCAAUGCCGCGUGGGUGAAGAAGGUCUUAGGAUUGUAAAUCCCUUUCGGCGGGGACGAUGAUGACGGUACCCGCAGAAGAAGCUCCGGCUAACUUCGUGCCAGCAGCCGCGGUAA